rnacentral:rRNA from 1 species
UACGGGGGGGGCAAGCGUUGUUCGGAAUUACUGGGCGUAAAGGGCUCGUAGGCGGCCAACUAAGUCAGACGUGAAAUCCCUCGGCUUAACCGGGGAACUGCAUCUGAUACUGGAUGGCUUGAGUUCGGGAGAGGGAUGCGGAAUUCCAGGUGUAGCGGUGAAAUGCGUAGAUAUCUGGAGGAACACCGGUGGCGAAGGCGGCAUCCUGGACCGGUAUUGACGCUGAGGCGCGAAAGCGUGGGUAGCAAACAGG